rnacentral:misc_RNA from 1 species
AAAAGGUUAGAACUAACCAAUUAAGUAGUUGGCCAUCCACCUUGGUUAGCUCUUUGAACUUGUUGUAAUCUUUAGAUGAUUUUGAUUGACAAUUCAGCCUUGAAAUCUGACUUAGCGGAAAACAUUGGGAACCUUGACACUUAAAUUGAACUGGGCUAGACUUGCUCUGAUACCAUAUCAUUGAACUGAGUUGAAUAGGCGGAGGUGAAUGAAUAGGUCGAGGUAAGAGUCUGUGAAGUGUGAGACAGGCUUACUUGGGUUUGGACCAACCAUUGCUUAAAGGUUAGAACUAACCAAUGAGGUAGUUGGUCAUCCGCCCUUAUAAGCCCUUUGAACCUGUAAUUUUUAGAUGCGGGACUCUUGAUAAAACUUGCAAUUAAAAAAUAGGGUUUAGGGUUUCAUUUCCAUUCAUUAACUUCAGUUUGUUGCAAUAAAAUCACUCAACUUUUAUUUUGAAAGUUCUGCUUUACCUGUUUUACCUGUUAUAAUCAGUUUUCCAAUUAAUGAAAGAUAAAAUUACUUAAAUACCCAAUAUUGUAAUAAAGAAUCCUAACUUUCUUGCCUCUUCUUUUCUCUUCCUCUCUC